GGCCCUUUAAACCCUUCUCCGCCGAGCGAGUGGGAGGAGACCGGGGCCGGCUCGGAGGCACCGGCGGGGGCGCCUCUUCCUCGCAGCGGGAGCUGCUGCGCUCCGGUAGCGGCUCGCCUGCCCGCCCCAGCGCUUCCCUUCCGUCCUUGCACCCUGGUGCCGACGCCGCCGGGCGAGGACCGAGCCCGGGCGGACCCGACGCUCCUUCCAUGCCUCUCCAAGCCCGUUUGCCAGCAGGUGGAAUGGACCAGUCAUGAAUGGUGAUGCCUUUUGUCAAGAUCCUCCCUCCCAGCUUCCCGACUGGAGGGAAUUCUGUGAGCUGCACGCCCAGGCCGCUGCAGUGGACUUUGCUCAAAAGUUCUGCCAGUUCCUGAAGGAGAAUCCGCACUACAACACCCCUGGGGCAGAGACCUCCUUCUCCCACCACUUUGCCGCCAACUUCUUGGACAUCUUCAGCUUGGAAGUCAACAGGGUGUUCGUUUCCAAUUCCCCCACCAAAUACAACAUCGUGCCAUUUGUUGGGCUUCAAAACUGCCACAUGCCUUACGGGCGGGACCUCCUGCCAAGGAAGGAGCAGGCCUCCACGGAGUCCCUCGACAGCAUGGACAACCCCAUCUCCUCCGGCAGGUAUCUGAGCCAAUCGCAGCAGGUCCAGGCCCGGAAGGUCUCUUCCUACGGCCAGUCCCGGAGUUCAGAGGAUGUCUCCGUCCACGCCACCUCCAAGCCAAAGUUCAAGAAAGGCUUUUCCCUGAGGAAUAUGAGCUUGUGCGUGGUGGAUGGCAUGAAGGAGAUGUGGCACAGGAGGUCUUCCCCGGAGCCUGGUGCAGAAGCCACGCAAAGCAGGCGGUCUGACAGGGAACACUGCCCUCCUGGGAACAAGGAACAUGGCGAUUCCAGGGAGAAAUGGACCCACAAGCUGCGCCUUUCGAAGGGGCAGUCUUCCAAGGUGGAUCUGGUGGACAUUCAGAGGGAAGGGACCCUCCGCUACAUGGUCGCUGACGAUACGAACUGUGUGGGGAGCUCUCAGUGGCAAAAGUGUCGGUUGUUGCUAAGGAAAGCUGUGAAGAUGGAGGGAGAAAAGUUCCUUCUCGAGUUUUUCGUUCCUCCCAAGGCUUCCAAAGCUAAGGUCAGCAUCCCUCUGUCAGCCAUUAUUGAGGUGCGCACAACUAUGCCUUUGGAGAUGCCAGACAAGGACAACACCUUUGUGCUGAAGGUAGAAAACGGUGCUGAGUAUAUCUUGGAAACGAUUGAUUCGUUGCAGAAACACUCCUGGGUGGCAGAUAUACAAGACUGCAUAGAUCCUGGAGACAGUGGGGACGACAUCGAACUCUCCUCCUGCACCCAGGGGGCCUGCCUGCCAAGCAGAGUGUCCUCUUGUAGCUGCGAGUUCCUGGCUGGUGAUACCUCCCGGUUUCAGGACAGAUGUGCAGGCUCUGCUGCCCCAGACACUAUGCCGAAUCCUGCCACUGUUGUCACAGCACCGCAUGGUCGGAUCAGGGACUCUGCAGGAGAAUACAGAGCUCAUGUGCCAUUGGAUAACUUCCUACAGACAUUGGAGUCAUCAGCUACUGGUAGCCAUACUGCAGCUGGGACAGGGGAGGAAAGCGAGACGGAAGCGGAGCUCAACCUUCUGGACUUCCCUUGGUUCCAUGGGACACUAUCACGGGUCAAAGCUGCUCAGCUGGUCCUGUUUGGUGGAGCCAGAAGCCAUGGGCUGUUUGUCAUUCGACAGAGUGAAACCCGGCCAGGCGAAUACGUGCUGACCUUUAACUUCCAGGGAAAAGCCAAGCACCUGCGCCUGUCCUUGAAUGAAAACGGCCAGUGCCACGUCCAACAUCUCUGGUUCCAGACUAUCUUUGAUAUGCUGAGGCAUUUUCACAUGCAUCCCAUACCCCUGGAGUCAGGCGGUUCCGCUGAUAUAACACUCCACAGCUACGUGGUGGCCCAGAGUCCCUUGCCGGAGGUCAGCCCGUCCCCCGCUGUGGCCUCUCAACAGCCCACUUGCAGAAACGACCUGCAGUCGCAACACUACUUCUCCAGCUUUGUCCCUGUCACCUUCCAGCCGGCCUCCCCUUCUGAGGGCACCACUUCUUCCUCCUCCUCCUCGGCCAGCCACUCGCUGUACCAUCGGAUGGAGGGGACCCUGAGCACCCGAAGCCGGAGCAACAGCACCGAGCGCCUAUUCGAUUCUGCCGCCAUUGGGGCAGAGGAUUACCACGAAAGCGAGGGCUCACGCAACAGAACCAGAGCUGUGGAGAACCAAUAUUCAUUCUACUGAUCCUCCUGGUGGGGAAUGGUUGGUUUUCAGUGUGGCCUGGUGUCUCUCUUUUCACCAGGACCCAAGGGUUUUAGAGGGAAAGCUAACAAAGGAACUGUUUAUUGGAUUGCUGCUGUCUUGUGUGGUGUGGGUUCUGUGGUCCUCUUCAUCUUCACUGUAAAUAGUUGAGCUCAUGAUACUCUUCAUCUCCUGCUCCUGAAGAACUCCACGUUUGGUGCUGGAGUACAGUUGUGUGCAAAGGAUGUAUGGUGCUGCCUGACACUGAUGCAAACUAGAGGCAGAGGCUGCCCAAGGACAGGUACCAGUUGCUUUCUUUUGGUGUGGACUAGAUGGACCCAGAAAUCUGACUUCAUAAGGGCCUCCACUCUGAGCAAUCAAUGUGGAGGAAUGGCCACACAGUGUUCACCUACUUUUAUGGUGUAUCUGCAUGAUGACAUGCUCCUCCCAUGUGUUUUUUCCUUGUUCAGCUUCCAUUUUUGUGUGUGCAGAUAAUCCAACUCUUAAAAGAAAACCCACAGAAAACCUCACAAUGUAACAGUUAUCUAGUUUCCCCAGGAGCAGCUGGCCUAUUGUGUUGCUAUUUAGUAGCUUCCUUGGCUAGAUAUGGCCAGUAUUGAUUGCUGCAGACUUUUAUUUCUCUAUAUAGUCCAUCUCUCUUCUCUAGGAAUCAACUCUGUUAUUUUUACCUCUUCCCUUUCCAAACAGUGUUCAUUUACUUCUGUUUCUUUUCUCUCCCUCUCACAGCAGUACUGUGGUUACAAAACAUGCCCAAGUGAUAAUUGUGUACGAAAGCAGUAAUUCCAGAUGUGAGAUAUUCAUUCCUUUGACUAAAAAAAAAAAAGUUCCUGUUGGAAGGAA